rnacentral:rRNA from 1 species
GACGAACGCUGGCGGCGUGCUUAACACAUGCCAGUCGAACGGAAAGGCCCUGCUUUUGUGGGGUGCUCGAGUGGCGAACGGGUGAGUAACACGUGAGUAACCUGCCCUUGACUUUGGGAUAACUUCAGGAAACUGGGGCUAAUACCGGAUAGGAGCUCCUGCUGCAUGGUGGGGGUUGGAAAGUUUCGGCGGUUGGGGAUGGACUCGCGGCUUAUCAGCUUGUUGGUGGGGUAGUGGCUUACCAAGGCUUUGACGGGUAGCCGGCCUGAGAGGGUGACCGGCCACAUUGGGACUGAGAUACGGCCCAGACUCCUACGGGAGGCAGCAGUGGGGAAUAUUGCACAAUGGGCGGAAGCCUGAUGCAGCAACGCCGCGUGCGGGAGGACGGCCUUCGGGUGGUAAACCGCUUUCGCCUGUGACGAAGCGUGAGUGACGGGAAUGGGGAAAGAAGCACCGGCUAACUACGU